GGCCCGCUGAUGUGCUUUUCUUGAUGUUGGAGCAUAACCCUGUCCAUAUUUUAGUAGCUUGAAAAGUCAGUGAUUCUAGAUUGGGUUAAUGGUUUUGUUUCUUCUACAAUCACAACUUAAUGCAAGGUUAACUCGUGUGCUUGGUUCAUUCCUAAAUUCUUGAGUCGGCACCCACUUAGCUUCACUUGUAGGCCACAAAAUUUGAUGUUCCUAUCCACAAAAGUUCUGCCUAGGCAGUCUGGAUGCGUCGACGUGAAUCCUUCGUUAUUAUUCUUCAAGUUCGUCGUGUUUAAAUGUCAUUAGAAGGUAUCAUUGGUGUCAUGAAGUUUGAGAGUUUUUGUGUCUUGAAAUGAAAACUUGAGUUGAAGUCCUUCUCCUUUAUUUUUGUCGACAAUCAUUUAGUGAAAUGCCUUGUGAAGGUUCUAUGAUCUUUCUUAAUUAACAUUUGGAUCAGCUAAAGGGCCCCAAUGUCUUGUUAAAUUGACGAAUUGGUAGACUGUUACUUAGGUAAACUCUGUUAAUCAGUGAAUUUUCUGAUGCCUAGUUUUACUUUUAUUAGAAGUGUUCUUUGCGUUUAAAAAUAGAAAGUUGAGGAAUAAGGCAGUGAUGUAAAGUCUGUCACGUAUUGGCUCUUGAAUUCAUGUGUGCGGGGUUUGUUUGAGGUUGGAUUAAAUUGAAAUCAGCACUUUAAAACUAUCUGGUGUGGAUUAGCUUAGUGGGUGGUGUAGGUUUUCAAUUGUAGCAUGGGUAUUGUUAUCAUUUGAUGUGUUCAAGCAAGUUCUGGGAAGUUUAAAAAAGAGAAUAGGGGUUAGCUAAACUCUAAAUGGCUUUCAUCACAUUCUGAUUCAUCUGAACAUUCUUGCCCUUUUCGUUAUUCUGCCUUGUCAAUUGUGAUCUCUUUCUUUUCUUCUAGGUGUUUUCUAUGUUGAAUAUAUGAAUUAUCUUGUAUGAUUGUUUGGUCGUGGGGAUAGGGAAAAAACUAGCCUACUAGUGUUUAAACUUAUUUGCAUGCUAGGAAUGGGCUUGGCCUAGCAAAAGGAAAUCAAUUGUAAAAUAUGAGUAUGAUUUAGAAUUUUCAUUUCUUUCAUUUGCUUAUUUUGUUACAUUGUUCGUUAGGAGCAUGUUUAGGCCGACCACACUUGGGUAGGCAAGCCUUAAGAUUUUUGGUUAAUUUUGAGGCGAGAGGUCGUUCCCUUAGUUAAAUUUAUCCGGGGAAUGCCCCGAGGGAUUUGUAUAUAUUUUAUUUCAGGGGUAUGCCCCGAAGUGAAUGUAAUUGGAGGCCUUGGCGAACAUCGUAGAAGAAAUAGUGUAGAAUUGAACUUUAAUAUUUUCUUUUAUUUAUUUUUAUCUUUUUAGGUGGGGACGACCUCGAGCCUCUUUGUGUUUGUUUUCCUUUUAUGUGUUAUUACCUCAAUUGAAUAAUUUAAAAGCCAACUAGAUCGAGUACGCAAUCGUAACCCUCACGGGAUUUGGGGAGUGCCUAACACCUUCUCCCCGAGUCAAAUGAACCCCCUUACCCAAAUCUCUGGUGCGGAGUUGGUUUUAUAGUCCAAGUGUUUUAAAAGGAAAAUUAUCUUUUUUUUUAAAAAAGGGUGACCUGGCACAUCGAAAUCAAUGUCAAGUGGCGACUCAGUAAUUUCCUUUUGCACAAAAUUCCUGUCACUUUCUAAUUGAAAACCCUUUUUAAGCUUUAUAAAUUCCUUUUAUUUAUUUAAGAGGGGUUAGUGAAGUUUGGUAAAAAAAAAGGGGUGCGACAAUCAAGAUGUUGUAUUGAGGACAAGAGUGAUAUCAAAAGUCAAUACAAGACUU
rnacentral:lncRNA from 1 species